AAAUUGAAGAGUUUGAUCAUGGCUCAGAUUGAACGCUGGCGGCAGGCCUAACACAUGCAAGUCGAACGGUAACAGGAAGCAGCUUGCUGUUU
rnacentral:rRNA from 5 species